rnacentral:rRNA from 1 species
GUCCACGCUGUAAACGAUGGGCACUAGGCGUCGGGGGGAGCGACCCUCCCGGUGCCGUCGCUAACGCAAUAAGUGCCCCGCCUGGGGAGUACGGCCGCAAGGUUGAAACUCAAAGGAAUUGACGGGGGCCCGCACAAGCGGUGGAGCAUGUGGUUUAAUUCGAUGCAACGCGAAGAACCUUACCUGGGCUUGACAUGCACGUGAAAGCCGGUGGAAACACCGGUCCUCCUUCGGGACGCGUGCACAGGUGCUGCAUGGCUGUCGU